rnacentral:lncRNA from 1 species
GGGACAGAGAGGUGAAACUGGAUCUUUGAAGACCUCUGUUGUCACCUCUAUCAUUAUUCUGCUCCAAUGACAACACGGAGCAUACUGUCAACGUCCUCCAGUGGGAGAGCCAUGAAGUCCCCUGUAAGGGGUGGAGAGCACCAUUUGAAUCAGCUGGAAGAAAAGAAAAGACUCUGAUAUACCUGUUUGAGGAAGCUAACCUUUGAAUGAGAGAAACUUCUGCUGAUGUCAAAUGACCACAAGGAU